GGACAUUGUCCCUCUGUCCCCUCAAGCUUCCGCGGCCACUGGUUAUUUGCAUGCAUGCAACCCAUUUUAUUUUUCUCAUUUACUUUUCUUCGCGAGUUGACAAAAUUCCAAGAAGACGAUACAUACGCUUGAAUAUAAAUUGUAUUUUAUCGUCGUAGAGUUGUUUAUGAAUAAUAAAUAAUUAUUUUCCAGCGAAAAUAUGUCACAGGCUGAGUAGUUUGACUGAUGGAUGUUGACCAGAUCAAAUCAGAUCAGUCGAAAGUUUAGUGAUCGAAGAGAUGAAUGCAUAAUAAGUAAAGCAAGUUGUAGUUUUAUAUCGAUUCUCUGAGGUCAUCCUUUGGACCAGUAAACUACAUAAUAGGUAAUAUAAUAUGGCACCAUUCACCGAUAACUAUCAUCAACCUGUAAAAAAAUUCCCCAGGCAGGUAGACAAAAUUGUUCAUGAACCGUUUUCACUUUCGCUCACUUUCGCAUGUUAAAACUUUCAUUCAAUUUAAACUUUCAGCCUUAUCGCACAUUUUACUAAUUACGUAGAUUUUACUACUCCAAAAAAACCUCCGCCAUCCAGAUAUUCCUAGUUGCAUGGCGGGAUAUCUGGUAGUCUGAUACUAUAAAUUGCAGCCUCUGAUGUCAGAAAUUAUUCAAUGCCAACAAAAGUUAAUUAGCCAAUACUCACUCGUUCUCUUAAUGCAUUUCGUGAAGCAGAACAUUCACCGUGUAAAUUUUACACCAUACGAUUCAUAUUAUAAUAAUGCCUCUCCAACCAACUCAAGUCAGGUGAGAAUGAGACAAAAAAAGCCACCAGAAGAACAGAACACAGAACGAGCACGUUUUCAUACAUCUUUAAUAAUCCGUACACACUUAUGUAUAUCUCAUUUUCCUCGUCUCAUCGUACACUUUUUUUCUCUCCUUAAUUAUUUAUUAUACUACUAAAAUGUGUAAACACUUAGAAAAUGUAUACUCAAUUAGUAAGGAAACAAUAACAACAAUAUGUAUGGAUUUUUGUAACAUUGGCAAACACAUUCACAGACUUUUUGUCAUCGUCAUCAUCACCACCACAUGCAGCGCUUCUUCAUUGAUUGAUAAUCAUCAUUUCGUCACUAACCUAAUAAUAUGCAACUCGUACACACCCACCCAGAGAGAGACAACUAAUUUAACACAACGACAAAAUAAGUAUGGAUGUAU